CUUGUAUGGAUAACGAAAAGGCAAUCAAGAAGCUCCAUUAGACGGAGCGAGGGAGAGAUUCGAGCGGCAUUGUCUGCCGGCAGCGAUGAGGACGGAUUGUCUGGUUCCGGCCCCAAAGGAAUACCAGAAACCAAUGCCCUGGCCCCAAAACAGAGAUGAAGUUGAUGGUUCCAGAUAUUGCAUUUGGUAAUCACACGAGUUGCCCCAGAUGUUGGUUGUGGCGUAGCAAGCUUCGGUGCCGUUCUACUCUCGUGCAAUGUUUUGCAACACACUGGUUGCCAUAUCCAAGCCAGGCAUUUGACCUAAUUCAUCGUUCAAGAUGUAGAACCAACUCCACUCCUCGACGGUGCAACAUUUAGGGCAUCCCAUGCUUAUGUUCGUGAUUCAAGAUACGCAUGGAAGAUAUUUUAGGUAUUGCACAGACCACGGGAUACUGUUCAAGGUCCAUUACUGUGCGCCUUCCCCUAAGAGUUGUGCAGCUUGUUACAUAUCUAUUCUCUUAAAUUCGUUUUGCUUCUUCCUGCAACGUUUUUAUGGGCAACCGAGCUAAAAUGGGUGCAGGCUCUUUCUGAUCUCUCUGUCAGCCAAGCUCCCAAGUGGUGGUUUUGUCGUAGCAGCUAUACCUGUUCUUAUCCAAGUCAACCCAUGGAUAGAACUGCUGCAUCAUCCAGUUCAGUCAUUACAUCACUUCUGCAGUAUGUUUGAAGCUUCCCGAGCGAAAUCAACCAUGGCCGCUGUGCCAGCUCAGUCUGAUACAGAGACAGGAGCUCAAGGUAAAAGGUUUCAAUCACCAUGUCCGACCACUUGCCUUAAUAAUAAUCUCCACUCUUUGUUUCACAUCAUGUAAGGUAUAUGAGCAUUGUUGUUGUUUUCCACAUGUUUCCGCAUGCCGUACCAAAUCGACGGAGACCUUCACCUUCUUUUUUUUCUUGGGCAGAGACAGAUUCCUGCAUUUAAGGCGGGUCAGAGGAACACGCGUCUCAGUUAGUCCAAGUAGAUCCCGAAGAUAGAUCAGGUCAAUGCAGACGCUGUUGCUGUGUUGCAAGAUUAGCAACAAGAUGCAGAGGAACUCGCGUGUCUUAGUUAGUCCAAGAAGUUCCGGAAGAGAGAUUAGGUCAAUGCAUCAGUACAAUGCUAAGAUGAAGAGCAUGCGGUAUAUGCUGCAGUCAUCCACAAGCACACAUCGUCUCCACAAGAGCAAACUGGUACACGAGCUUUACUCGUUCUCAGUCCAACUUGAUCAUAAGAAAGUGUGAUUCUACUAACCAACACCAAUGAUCCUUCAAAAUCCUAUCUUUAUAUAUAGCUACGUAUCUCUGGUCCUUUCGCCGUCGUCUUGCAGCAGUGUGUCGCAUUCAUUCCCUUUGAUUAAAGCGUGGGACCUAUGACACCACCUACUCUCCCCACCAUAAACAACUCAUUACCUUGAUACUAUAUUUCAACUCUCAGAACUCGGUGUUCUCAGAUGAGAUCAGCACAGUCGAGGAAGAAGAAUCUCCACCAACUGGGACAGCCAACUGCGAGCAGUAACAACAACAAGUGCAAUUCAUGUCACAUUCUUCCAUAUACAUAUCUUACAGCCACUGGCAAUCUUUGUCGUUUCAAGGAAAUCAGUAAAUGAGAUGAUACAUACUUGUUUGAUCCAAUUGAAUCGGUAGAGGAUGAAGGAGUUUAAGAUCAUCCACACAAUGCCUUGACCAGCAAUCAUGAUGAUCUGAUCAAGGUUGGUUGAUAAUAUCUGGAUUCGCAGUACCUGUGUGAUUUGAAUAAUCUGAAUGAUUGAGUGUUAAUGGCAUGCGUGAGACAAAUAGGACGCUUCAAAAAGGACAGUCAUGCUUUACAUUGUUUCCAUCUACAUUUCAAAAUACCACUACUAAUACCUCGGUAUUAAGUAACCCUCUGUACGAGACAAAUAGGACACUCAUGCUUUGCAUUGUUUCCAUCUCCAUUUCAAAUACCACUCAUCAUGAAACCUCAGAUACAUGUCCCCAUCAAUCUCUCACUGCUACCAACCAGUCACCCCUGGCUAGUAAUAGUAUGACACAUUGGUAUUUUAAUCUGUAUGCAAAAUUGGAUCUUCAAACACUGUUGUUUAACUUCAGAUUAUACUGUUAAUAACUGUUGUUCUCCACUUUGGAGAGGGAAAGAAAACUCGAAACCUAAAAAGAAAAACCCUCAAAGAUCAACAAAUAAAUAAUAUAUUAUAAAAAUUUU